GGGUUAUGGUAGCUAAGAGUUUAUAUCAAAUGGGCUUUUUGACUCGUAGAUGUCGACUCAUCUUAUCGUUGUGAAGUAGAGCUCUCCAAUCGUUGGAUUGUACACUCCUCAAUAGGGAAAGGGACUGAUUGUGAUUUUAAACUGUAGUGGGACAGGGC
rnacentral:ncRNA from 1 species